rnacentral:lncRNA from 1 species
AGAAAUGGAGCCUACCAGAGAAGCAGAGAAAGAGCUGAUCGGGAGAAUACAGCGUGAGGUUCAGAGAAAAUCUGAGGAGCCCACCAACCAGGUCAGAAGAGCAGGAGGGUCAGCAAGUGAAUUAAUUACACUAGGGUUUCUUAAAGGAGCGCGGAUGAGGGAUUAUCUACAGGAGCCUGAGCACUGUGGCGGUCCCCACAAGAGUCAUGGCUGGCAGGGAAGUGAUCUAAGAGAGGAUAUCCCUGAAUGGAAGCCCUGAGAAACCAUCGUGUGAGGAUGUGAAGAUGAAGCCUGGACUGCACUGAAGACCUCAAGAUGUUAGAGAUGCCAUAGCUGUGGAAUAACUGCCAAGGAGAGCUUCAAACAGUAUGUGGAUCAGCCAAAGAGAGAGCAGUGUUGUAGUCAACAAACCUGGAAAGAGUGGGAGAUCUGAAAAAUUCGCCUACCUCAGGCUGAAGUUAAAGGAGUUAGAGUGUUUCCCACUGUGCUUUGGUCUUGCUUUGGUCCAGUAUAUCCUCACGUUUCUCUCUCUCUCUCUUCCCUCAUGGAAUGGUAACAUAUAUUCUGUGCUAUUGUAUGCUAGAAGUUAUGUAAUUUGGUUUUGGUUUUGAUUUUAUAGAAGGUUAGAGUAAAGAGAUUGCCUUGAGUCUUAGAAGAAACGUUGGACUUUUAAACUAUAUCAAGACUGUGAAACACUAUGAAGAAUUUUGAAGUUGGAUUAAGUACAUUUUGCAUUAUGAUGUGGUUAUAAGCCUAUGGGGCCAAGGAGUGCAGUGUAGUGGUUUGAAUGAAAAUAGCCUCUGUAGGUCAUAUAUUUGAAUAUUUGGUUGCCAAAUAGCAGACUGUCUAGAAAGGAUUAAGAGCUGUGGCCUUGUUGGAAGAGGUGUAUUACUGGGGGUAUAGACUUGGAGUUUUCAAAAGCUCAUGUCAAGCCCAGUCUUGUGUGUUCUCUCUUUCUGCCAAGUGUACUUGUGAAUUAGAUGUAAACUCUCAGCUAAUGCUUAGCACCUUGCCUGCCUGCCUGCUGCUAUGUUUCCUACCAGGAUGGUCAUGAACUAACCCUCUGAAACUGUGAGCAAGCCUGUAAAUAAAUGUUUCUUUUAUAAGU